AAGAGCUUCUGUGAAGAUGGCAUUAUUGUAGCACAAAAAGAAAAGGGAGCUCAUGGCUGCAAAAUGCAUGUUGUGUCACCAAAUUUGAAUUUCAAAAGUAUUCAUAUUUGCGUAUUUUAAAACCUGAAGCAUAAUGUCAAAGAAACAACCCAGGAGAAUGAAUAUUAUGAAUAUUUCGCCAUAACGACAGAUGAAAAGUAUUUUGUGUGUCAAUGUGAGACUUUAAAGUGCGGUACUGAUGGUGAGAAAAAAGUCUGUGGACAUAAGAUAAGCAGUUUCAUAGGUUCUGACAAGCAUGCUCCAAAAGAACCUCAAAUUUAUUGAAGCACAUAGCACGCGUACAUCCACAAAUUUUUGAUGAAAUUGAGGAAAAGAAAAUAUGAUGUGCAACAGGAAAAGUGACAUAAGGAUCUUGUACUGCUAUUGGUGGACAAGCUUUCCUCACUGAUGUUUUUUCACUACAGACAAGAUAACUAUAACCAUGACUGCUAAGAGCUUUUAAAAAAAUCUUAUUAACUUAGCUAUACAAAAUGGUGUAGUCUUGAAUGUAUUUUCGCAACCUGCAUUCCUAGGACUUAAUGGCGAAAUGAAUUGGAAUUUCAUUAGACAGGGAAUUUAUCCGUAAACUUACUCUCAAUGAUGCUACAAGGAAGAAACAAAACUUGAAAGCUGAGCUCAGAAAAAGGGAAGUUCAUAUACUUAAAAAUGGAUGCAACUACUAGACACAGAAAAAACUAUUUUGCAAUUAAUGCUAGAUUUAUUAAUGAUGAUGGAGACACUGGCAGUAAAAGAUACUGAAGCUCAUCAUGGUAGCCAUUAUCUUCAGAAAUUCAUUAAAGGGGCUUUAAAAGAAUUUGAAACAAAGGAAAGAGCAGAUUCUUUGCAUUGUUACUGAUAAUGCAUCUAAUAUAGUUAUAAUAUAGUUAAAACAAUACAAAAGAUCAAAAGAUGAAUGCAGAUGAAGAAAUUGUUACGAUAGAUGGAAAAAGGACUGCUUUAGAUAUUGAAACUUCUCAAGAAUAUUCAUACGAAAUUUUAGAUGAUGUUGCUGAAGAGGCAUCAAAAAUUUGUCAAAUCAAGCAAAUGCGUUGUGCAAUCCACACCUUGCUGUUAGAGAUGGGUUGAAAAAAACCUCACGCUUACUAAAUGUAACUAAAUGAAUCAGUUUAAUUGCUAAUUUCAAAUAUUAUGAAUAUGUCAAUAAAAUAAAAAAUAACUAUUUAUUAAUGUAUAUAGUUCAUAA